UAAAGUCUCCUGUGAGUGAUGCUGUGUGGUCAGUGAUGACCUCAAAGUGUUGGACCAAAGCUACAGGUGUGGGAAUCUUUAUAUUGGAUCCACGCUGCUGUGCCUAUGGGCCGUGGUGGUGAUGGUGAUGGUGAUGCAGGUGGUGUUGGGAUGGCAGUGGUGCGUGGAUCGAUGGUGGAGUCGGUGGUGGAGAGCGUGAAGGUUGGAUUCCUUGAAGACUGAGUCUAUCACACAUUAUACUGAUAGUAAUAAAAAAAAAACCUCCACGAAUGUAAACACAACCACGAGAUAUUAAUAGGUUCACUUCAGAGAUGGCAAAACUAAGACUCAGCUCAGUCAUGGCCCCAAGAUCUUAGAUGAAUUAUGUCAUCACCAAGAAUCUGAUUUCAGGAACUUUAUCCUGAGGACUGCUGGGUCUCACUGCCAUUUAACCAAACUCCCUUCAUGAGAAUGAAACAGGUCAGACUGCAGAGGCUUAGCCCCCAAUCUUUUCCUUCUACCUCGCUCUUGAGAGCAGCCAGCAUGUCUCAUUCAGCUGCAUCUUCUCCUCUCAUGUCCCAGAUCCCCCUUAAAUCGUUGUUAGUCCCUCAGUGACAGUCCGACUUCUCAGACAGGGUCAACUGGGACUUCAGAGAAUUCUGCCUGGACUCCCUCCAGACACUCCCGGCUUUGUCUGAAGAGAAACUGGGAAGUCUAAACUAGAAACAGCUCUCCACUGUCCAUCAAUGGACUGAGAGGCAGACCAGAGGAGUGCACCAAGGAAACACAGACGGUAAGAUGAUGUGGGAGUGAUUUCUUAUUAAUAAAGAAACUGCCUCGGCCCUCAUAGGACAGAAAAUUAGGUAGGUGGAGAAAACAGAGGAGAAUUCUGGGAGAAAGAAGCUUAGGGAAGGAGUCGCCAUGAUUCUCCUGCUCCAGACAGACGCAGGUUAAGAUCCUCCCUGAACAUGAACUUCUGCACAGACAGGAGAAACGAGUCUACACUGAAGCCCAUUGACUGUGCCUCUUGACUUUGACAGACGUCAUCAGCUGUGUCCCACGUCCCAGCCCUCAUGGCAGCUCCACCCCCCUCCACCUCCUGCUGGGCUCACACUCUCUGGACUCUGGGGUGAGGACGACAGGUCCCUGAGUCGUGGAGGGAGUGGGUGUAAUGUAGAUGUCCCAUUCAUGCUGAGUUGAGCACCCUGCAAAUUCUCUGCCCUUUGACAAGCUGUGACGUCUGCAUUAACCCCUGUCUGCUGCAGUGCGUGUUUCUGAUGAGGUCAGGGAGCUGUGUGCCCUCAGCUUUUGACAAGACUCCCCCUGACAUGUCACCAGG